rnacentral:rRNA from 1 species
GACGAACGCUGGCGGCGUGCCUAAUACAUGCAAGUCGAACGCAGUGGGGACGGGUGAGUAACACGUGGGUAACCUCCCAUCAGAGGGGAUAACACUUGGAAACAGGUGCUAAACCGAUACUGAUGGAUGGACCCGCGGUGCGUUAGCUAGUGGGUGAGGUAACGGCUCACCAAGGCCACGAUGCAUAGCCGACCUGCGAGGGUGAUCGGCCACACUGGGACUGAGGAACGGCCCAGACUCCUACGGGAGGCAGCAGGAGGGAAUCUUGGGCAAUGGACGAAAGGCUGACCGAGCAAUGCCGCGUGGGUGAGGAAGGUUUUAGGAUCGUAAAGCUCUGUGGGUAGAGAAGCGGUAGCUAACGAGAAAGCCACGGCUAACUACGUGCCAGCAGCCGCGGUAAUAC